rnacentral:rRNA from 1 species
GAUGAACGCUGGCGGCGUGCUUAACACAUGCAAGUCGAACGGAAAGGCCAGUGCUUGCACUGGUACUCGAGUGGCGAACGGGUGAGUAACACGUGGGUGAUCCGCCCUGCACUUCGGGAUAAGCCUGGGAAACUGGGUCUAAUACCGGAUAGGACAAUGGCUUGGAUGCCGUUGUGGAAAGUUUUUUCGGUGUGGGAUGAGCUCGCGGCCUAUCAGCUUGUUGGUGGGGUAAUGGCCUACCAAGGCGUCGACGGGUAGCCGGCCGGAGAGGGUGUACGGCCACAUUGGGACUGAGAUACGGCCCAGACUCCUACGGGAGGCAGCAGUGGGGAAUAUUGCACAAUGGGCGCAAGCCUGAUGCAGCGACGCCGCGUGGGGGAUGACGGCCUUCGGGUUGUAAACUCCUUUCGCUAGGGACGAAGCGUAUUUGUGACGGUACCUGGAGAAGAAGCACCGGCUAACUACGUG